rnacentral:rRNA from 1 species
AUUGAACGCCGGCGGCCGGCCUAACACAUGCAAGUCGAACGAGUGGCGGACGGGUGAGUAAUGUCUGGGAAACUGCCCGAUGGAGGGGGAUAACUACUGGAAACGGUAGCUAAUACCGCAUACCAUCGGAUGUGCCCCGUUGGGAUUAGCUAGUAGGUGGGGUAACGGCUAACCUAGGCGACGAACCAUAGCUGGUCUGAGAGGAUGACCAGCCACACUGGACCUGUGACCCGGUCCAGACGCCUUCGGUAGGCACCAGUGGUGACUAGUGCACAAUGGGCGCAAUCCUGCUGCAGCCGUGCCGCGUGUAUGAAGAGGGCCGUCGGGUUGAAAAGUACUUUCAUCGAGGAGGCGUUACUCGCAGAAGAAGCACCGGCUAACUCCGUGCCAGCAGCCGCGGUAAUUC